rnacentral:rRNA from 1 species
UACGUAGGGUGCAAGCGUUGUCCGGAAUUAUUGGGCGUAAAGAGCUCGUAGGCGGUUUGUCGCGUCGGCUGUGAAAACCCGGGGCUCAACCCCGGGCCUGCAGUCGAUACGGGCAAACUAGAGUGCGGUAGGGGAGACUGGAAUUCCUGGUGUAGCGGUGAAAUGCGCAGAUAUCAGGAGGAACACCGGUGGCGAAGGCGGGUCUCUGGGCCGAUACUGACACUGAGGAGCGAAAGCGUGGGGAGCGAACAGG